rnacentral:lncRNA from 1 species
CCACUGCUGUGCAUUAUUUGUCACCAUCAACACCCUCUCUGGAAGAGCCCUCACACUCGAGCUCCCAGACCUUUCCUGACAUCAUGGAUUAUACCCUCUGGAACAGGAAGCCAAACAGACAAAUAAACAUGCAAGCAACAGUAGCAGCAGCAGCAGCAGCAACAACAACAACAACAACAACAACAACAACCACCUUCCCUCCCUGAUUUUUUGUUGGGAUCAUCUACUGAUACAACAGACAAUUAACUAAUACAAAUGUGUUGGAAUAAUUUGUCAUUUGUAGGAUGAGUCAUUUUCUAAUAUCAUUUUGUAAACUGGGAGAAAGCUGAAGCUCUCAUGUGCAGCCCAGUGAAAGUUUCUCCAUUUGGUUAGCCAAGAAAUAAUUCUUUAGAAAUGCUUAACUAUUUAGUGUAUUCCACAUGGUAAUAAGAAGGUCAUAAGCAAGCAACAAGAAAGCAAUUUGAAAUAGCA